rnacentral:rRNA from 1 species
UCGGAAUGAGUACACUUUAAAUCCUUUAACAAGGAUCCAUUGGAGGGCAAGUCUGGUGCCAGCAGCCGCGGUAAUUCCAGCUCCAAUAGCGUAUAUUAAAGUUGUUGCGGUUAAAAAGCUCGUAGUUGGUUCUGCGUGCCGCGCUGUCGGUUCGCCGCCUGUCGGUGUAACUGGCAUGUCGCGGCAUGUCCUGUCGGUGGUGAACGGAGUCCACGACGCUACAUGGGCUUUAUAGUCGAUGUUAGCAUCGUGUGUACUUCCGUUGGCCGAUCUCUCCUACUUCGGUGCUCUUAAACGAGUGUCGAGGUAGGCCGACACGUUCACUUUGAACAAAUUAGAGUGCUUAAAGCAGGCUGAAAUAUCUGCCUGAAUAGUGGUGCAUGGAAUGAUAAAACAGGACCUCGGUUCUAUUUUGUUGGUUUUAGGAAUAUGAGGUAAUGAUCAAUGUGGACUGGCGGGGGCAUUCGUAUUGCGACGUUAGAGGUGAAAUUCUUGGAUCGUCGCAAGACGCACUAGAGCGAAAGCAUUUGCCAAGUAUGUCUUAAUUGAUCAAGAACGAAAGUUAGAGGUUCGAAGGCGAUCAGAUACCGCCCUAGUUCUAACCAUAAACGAUGCCAGCCAGCGAUCCGCCGAUGUUCCUUUAAUGACUCGGCGGG